GGUGCGGAACACGUGUGCACUGCUUUAUCUGGGGAUAGCUCGAAGGAAGAUUAUACCCAUAUAUGUUGAAUGGCAUCAUUCGACAUUGAAACUCCGGUGGAUAGAGAUGGGCACGCGCAGAUUAGCUAGUGUGAGGUAAGGGUCACAAGGGAGAUCUGUAGGGUCUUGAAGAUGAUCGCAACUGAAUUGAACGGUCAGAUUCUUACGGGGAGGCAGCAGUGGGAUUUUGGACCAAUGGCGGCAAGCUGAUCAAGCCAUGCCGGUGAGUGAAGAAGGCUCGGGUUGUAAAGCUCUUUCAGCCGGGGAAGAAACCGGCAUGGGUAAUACCUGUGUGGAUGACGGUACCGGAAUAGAAGACACCGGUAACUAAGUGCCAACAACGCGGUAAUACUUCAGGUGCGACGUUAAUCGAAUUACUGGCGUAAAGCGUGACGCCAGGCGGGUCUNGGUAAAAGAAUACGGCGUNCACUCCCCCCGGGGNUCAAAACCCUUGGGGAAACCNGGCGUUUUACUCACCUGGGAACGGAUCACAGUAUAGGCACAAACGGCGGGCUCCUAAAAAACACAACGUAGUACGCCAGCNAAAAAGAGCAAUACCCC
rnacentral:rRNA from 1 species